GGACAGACAGAGAAUUGCAACUAGAAAUUCGAUCUAUUGGUACGAGACACCACGUGCUCGCGGGCUGGCCAAUGACCAGGACGCCCGGGAUGAGCUAAUAAUGGAAGCAAUUUGUAACUUUCAGUAGCUCUCUAGGCCUAGGUACCGGUGGGAGGGAGGCUGGCGGAGGGGGGGACAGCACCCCCAGUUUUUCUGCCCAGCUUGUUUGUCUGGGGAAACUCGGAGCCCCUGGCCCUCCUUUUCCCUUACGAGCAAUCUCGAGCAGAGUUCUUCGUUCACUCCUGACCGGACACACAGCCAGAUUCCUCCAUCUCAGAAGUCACACCUUCCAUAAUUCUCAGCUUUAAAUCAGCCCGCCCCCAGCCUCAGAGGGGUGCCUGGGAAGAAGAAUCAAGACUGACCUAUUCCUACACUGUCCCAACUGGGGACACCCCCAUCUGUUUCCAAAGUCAGCUGAGAUAGAACUCCCGGAAAAGAAAUACAAUGUUUACUUUCACUUUACUUUUGAUCAAGCUGGUUUCUCCAGUGGUGGGGGAAUCCUUUUGUGUUUGUUUGUUUUUUUUUAGACAACAUCUUACUAUGUAGCCUUGUCUGGCCUGAAAGUCAACUAUGUAGACCAGGCUGACUUCCAACUCUGAGCUCCACUUGCCUGUGCCUACCAAGUGCUGGGAUUAAAAGUCUGUGCCGUCACUCCUGGCUAAUUUUCUCUUUUAAAAGAUAUUACUAAGAAGGCAAACUAUUAGAGUGUGUAAUCUAGAGUUCUAAUCUACUCAGAAUUAUUGAAGCGUACAAAAGUUAGAUUGCAAGAGUAACUCACACUCUGGGGAGAUGGGAAGAUGGCUCAGGGUGACUGCAUUUGUAUCUCUGUGCUGGGCAGAAGAGUAGCUGCUCCUCCCUCUGGUUCCAGCCCCAUUGUCACAUUGACAUUCUGGGCACAUGUGGCCCAGCCCCCACCCGCUCCUCCAAGUAUGAAUCUAAAUUACUAUUAAUAAGGGGCUGCUCCAAGCUAAUUGGCAUUAAAAGAAUUCAUUUCAAUUUGUUAAUAUUAAAUGAACACUCUGCACUUUAGCUCCCUUCCUCGCCCUGGAUUCCCAGAUGAGUGAUGGGAAGCAGGGCGGGGGAGCAGGCAGGAUUUUAUGUCUGGCUUUCUAGCUUGGCCAUUGCUGGGCCUUCCCUGGGGUUGUGAGACCAGGCAAGGUGGAGACCUGAUGGGGAGAAAUAGGUCUUAUUCUUUAUCAUCCUGUAAAGCAGGAGCUGUGGGUUAAGGGUGGGUGAAUGAGGGUCAAAGGAGAGACACAAAAAGAUUUAGGGGUUAGUGUGGUAGAGAAAGGCAGCGGCUAGGAGACUAAGAAGGAAAGUCAGUGGGCUGAAUAGAAAUUUCAAAACACAGGGAUUGUGGGUAAUGGGUGAGUUAGAUUUAGGAGGAAAGGCCCAUGCAGCUGAAAAUCCAACCCCAGGGUUUAAGGCAGCAGCUGUGGUCCUGCAGUUGCUAGCAUGGGACCUUGGACUUUUCUGUCAUUUCAGUUUCUGGUCUGUGAAGCAAGGAUUGUAUAAUGAAGGAUCUGUCUUAGGGUUGUCUGAGAUUCCAUGAGACACACAUGAUGUAUUCUGCAUGGUGCUGGGUACAUAGAUAUAUGCACUACUACAUGUUGGCUCACUUUCUGAACCAGUAGCUGCUGGAUUGGACUCCCAGACCUGACUUGAAUUAGUUGUAUGCUCUCCAAGUGGUUAUCUGUUUUCUUAUUGGUAGCAGAGUGAAUAGCUCCUGGGCUCAGGCGUGGAAGGUAGAAGGGCAUUUCGGUGCGAAGUGCCUGGGACAACUCAAGUCUCAUCAUGCUACAUGAAAGCUUCUGUGGCCGAUGUUGCCCUUUGGACCUCACUCAGCAGGAGCCAAAACAAGAUCCAAGGAGAAGGGGACCUGACAAAGUGCAAGGGACAAAGUAUCCACGUUGAAACUUGAGCUCUUUUUUUCCUCUUUACUAUAGAAAAAAUGCACAGGAUGGUUACAUGCUUGUAUAGUAGUCAUGAAGUCUUGACUUUUGGGUUUUGUUAUGAGACAGGAUCUCUCCUGCAGCCCAAGCUGGCCCGAAACUUGCUAUGUAGCAUAGAUGACCUUGGACUUCUGGUUCUCCUGACUCUGCUUCUCAAGUGCUGGGCUCACAGGUAGGAGUUACCAUGUCUGGUCGAUAGAACACACAUCUCAAUGCCUCCUUCCCAUGCUGUAUAUUUCUGAAGGAGGCGGCAAAAGCAAUCGCCUGAAGGGAAAGGCAGCACAUACGUAAAGUCAGGGGCAGGAUGGGGCCAGAUCACUACAGAAGAUGGAGUGUGCAUCGGGGAGGGGGCUAAUAUUCUGAUAUUCCGUCUGAGACUUCCCAGAGCAGGUAACUAUGGGUCAGGAUUUCAGUGGAUGUGAAAGGUAAUGAGGACAGAAAACAUAGGGACGGAGUUACACAUUCUAGAGGAAGGAGAAGAAGAAAAGAUCCUGCCAAGGCUGGCUAAGAGUGGAGAGAUAAAGCACAUCUGCCUUGCUGGCACCAAGUCAAAGCAAUCACCACUCACUGAGGGCACACACUGUGUGUAAGGCACAUAAGAGACCUCAAUUGGUGCUCACAACAGUUUUGACAAGUGGGUUGUAGCACCUCUGAAGGCUCCUGCUCCUGAGAGUCUACGUUGGGUCUUAGCAUAGUUGAUCCGCACAGAACUCAUGCUUAGGAUAAUCACCCUUGCUGUCUGUCCCUCCUUCCAUUCCAGUUUCAGGCUGUCCAGUGGCCCCACUUUUAUAGUCACACUUAGAAACUGGGGGAAAGGGGUUAGCAGUGGGUGAGACCAUGAGAGGGAGUUGUGGUCAGGCAGUGGAGACAGGAACUGUUCUCAUCUCUACACCAAGAAGGAUGAAGGAAUUCUCUAUGGACAGAGCUGCUAAGUCACUCUUCUGGGGCUGCUGCUUGUGGGUGAAUCACAGGGGCCUGACUGGGCUGCAACUCUUCUAGGUGAUGGUUUUUGUGGCUUUUCCCCAGGGACAUCCAGUAGAGAUUUGAGUCAUCAGUAAAGAGUGUCAGUUGUCACAGAAGUCUAUUCUCUGUUUGUAUGACCACAGAGAGCCUUCUAUUCUAACACCACUUCCCAGCAUCCUGGUCAGGUGUGGCCAGUGGAAGCAAGAGCCCAGUGAGGCUGCUCAAGCCCUAGGGCAUGGUAAGUUCUUUGUGCACCAUUUCUCAUGUCAUGGAGGAUACUGAGAUGAGGUCUGGCUAGAAGCUUAAGGAGCAAAGCAACAAUGUUGAGAGGAACCCAAGUCCCCAAGCAACAGGUGGAAGAGAGCUGACUGCACUCUGCUUGCUCCAUUGUACUGCCAUUUCCAUGACAGAUACACUGUUUCCUCUGCCACUGUUUGAGACCUUUUUUUUUUUUUAUAACUUUUAUUGGUUAGCCUUCCUAAUACACUUUCCCACUGCACACCUGCCAACUUAAACUCAUGUUAAGGGUCACACCUGAGGUGGAAUGGUGAUAAUGAUGACAUUAGUUGAGUCAGAGGCUAGGCUAAGAUGUCUAAGUCUGCAUAGCCCUGAAAACCCUCUGAGAAAGUGUUAAAAUUUCCACGUUAUGAAUAAGGUUUAAAGAAAGUAGCCGAGCUGCCUUACACCAUUUAUUUAUUUAUUUAUUUAUUUAUUUAUUUAUUUAUUUAUUUAUUUAUUUUUUGAGAUAGAAUCUGUAAGACAAACUGACCUACAAAAUCACCAUACAGCUCAGGCUGGCCUUGCAUUUACCUCAAUUCUUCUUGCUUUGGCCUUCCAAAUGCUAAACUUGGAGUUGCGAUCCCCCAUGCCUGGUAAUCUUUGAGGGAUGUUGAUAUGAAGUCUAGGCUAACCUUGAAUUCAUAAUCAUCCUGACUCUUAAGUGCUAAGAUUAAAGAUGUGCUCCGUCAUGUUAGACUCUAGGUGCAUUCCUCCUCACCUUGGGCCAAAUCCACUCCUCAGGUUAGAACUAGAAGGAACCUUGGAGAAGAAUCCAUACUAAGUUAAUCAGAGAGGUCUGGGAAUUCCAGUACUUCUCUCAAGAAUCAUGGGGGAUACUCACUUUAAAUGUUGGGGUGCUAUGUAAGGCUUUAACAAAGGAAGGGGGCUAGGCAUGGUGGCACAGACCUAUAAAGCAAGCCCUGAGGAGGAGGAGGCAGCAGGAGUUCAAGAACAACUUCAGCUGUACAAGUUGAACACCCUAUCUCAGAACAACAGAAGAGCCAGACAUUGCAACUGGUCAAAACCUCUGAUGGCUAUGACUCUCUCUGUGCCUCUGGAUAGCCUCGGUCAUCUAGAAUGAGGGGUGUGCACACGUGUUUUUCCUUCCCAAGCCAGAGCUUGGGAGGUCAGACUGCAUUCGGACUCCCAGGCUCCUCCUGUUGGCUAUCUGCCCUGAUGUGCACCUUUUCUCCACCCUCCUUGUCACCAGAUGCUAGGGAAGGCAUGCAGGGGCCAGAGCCAAAGCAGGAAAAGGGACCCCUUAGCCCUCUCUAGUCUUUGCACAUUUCUAUGUGGAACUAGGGCCUCUCUUCCCCUAGGCCACACCUCUUAGCCCACCAGGAAGGAGAAAGGGAAAUUGUCAUAAAUCCCCCUAUUUAUACAAGAAGACAGUGUGUUUCUUGUGCCAGAAAAAACACAGAAAGGGAGCUGUCAGGGAAGAAGGGACCCAGCCCCAGAUCUUGAGGGGUCAAUUUAUCUUCCCCAGUCGUGGCUUGGGGACUACCGCAGCACUAGCUGUGGGAGAUGCAGGCUGGGAGUUGGGGGGCAGCCAGGAUAGCACUGCAUAGCCUUUGUUUCUGACCUCAGCCUUUCUGCUUCAUCUGAGAGGCUCCCUUCCCUGACACUCUUUUUUCAAAACAACUUUCCUAAGGUGUAACUCACACGGAGCACAACCCUACUUGGAACGGACAGUUCAUGGCUUUAGAAUUUCCAUGGACAUGUGCAACUGACAGCACAAUCGGUAUAAGAGUAUUCUGAGUCCUCAGAGAGCAGCCUCCUGCUCACAGGUGACCACUUCCUUAUCCUGGAUAUCCCUUCUGAUUGAGCAGCCAAGGAGCUGCCUUCUACCUCAAUGUCUUUCCUAUUCAGGACUGCGAUAGGAAUGGCUUCAUGCAGUAGGUGGCCUUCUGUGAUUGGUUCCUUUUCCUUGGUUAUGCCAUGUCAAAGCACACAACUACCCUUGUUCCUUCUCACGGAUAAGUGACUUCAACGGUUGACAGACCACAUUCUGGGUAUGUAUUCAUCAGUACAUGGGCAUUUGGGUGUUCCCAUGUCCAGACAUUAUGAUUCUCUAUGUCUUUAGACAGUUUGAAUCAUCUAGAGUGAUGUCUGUGGCCAGAAAGAAGCCUGACUUGUGAGUGGGAGCCUCCGGUGUCCAUGGAAGCCAGGCCUUUGCACUUGGUUCUGGUGCUUCUCCCCGGGUUAAAUUGCUGAGGAUGGCCUCCUUUAUCCAGUAGCUCUCCCUUUGGACCCAUGCUGUCCUGAGACCCCUCUCCUGCAGCUCCAGAGUCUAAGUGGAUAAACAGAAAUACUUCCCCAAGGACGGCCCCAUGCAAUCCUUUGUGCCAGUAAAUGGAAACCCCUGGGCCAAGGGAAAGUCAAAUUCUUGAGGGUGUGGCUGCUUCAGAGUCCAUCCAGGUCUCCUUCCCAUGUCCCCACCUCACCUCUCUCAGUCUACUCUUUCUACUGACACCAGACCCUGCCCUACCUGCAUCAACCCUGCUAUACCAGUGGGACCAGCAGGAUGCGUACAAGAAGUCCAAAUAGUGCCAGGUUGCAUUUGUUGAACGAGUGGAUGAGGGAUGACUCCUUACUCUGGGAAUGCACUGUGGAGAGAAUCAGUUAGAAAGCCUCUUUCUGGCUGGGGAUUUAGCUCAGUGGUAG
rnacentral:sRNA from 1 species